UUUCUUUCUUUCUUUCUAAUCUGUACUUCCAUCAGUCUGACCUUUAACCUUUUGGAUGAUGUCAAUUGUCUCGGAUGUGAAGACCUGCUGCCAGGAACCUCUCACUAGACGACAACAAAGGGUGACGGCAGAAUAAGAGCGAGUGAGAGGGACGAGGACAGCAGAAGGGGAGCGGGAGAAAUGGAGCUGCUCAAAUGGAUGAAUGAGGAAAAACAAACGAGCUGGCAAAGUGGAAUGUAAAGAAAUGAGAAAAGUGUUUAAAAGAUGAGCUGAGAUUCAGCGGGACGGAUAGAAAGAAGGACAGCGGCAGCACGAUUUUGGUCGAAGCCUCUUUGACAUUGUCAGGCUUCCUGGGUCCCCAUGGAAACUAAAAAAAUCAGCAUGUUUGCUCAAAAUACUUUCAUCAGUGCCCCGAAUCAGAGCCAACAGAAGUAUGAGGGAUGACGAGAGACCGAAUAAAAAAACAAACGCAAAUAACAAAGAGCAAAAAGACAGAAGAAAAAAGCAAAAACAAACAUAGUGAAAGCUGAUUUUUGAAUAACCGCUCAUUGACCCGUGCUGUUUUGUACACAAUCAUGUUCAGGAGUUCAGCAAGGUUUUAAGUAGCCAUUGCUUUAGGGAUCAAACUGUAGAGUAAUGAUGUUGCCGUGUUUACACGAGGCAUUACGGUUAUAGCCUUUGGUCCGUUAGAAUAAGCUCUGGACAGUUAACAAACACCCGCUUUAUUAACUUUUUUUUCCGUAAAUAAGUCGCACAAGAUCAAUGCAUUCAUGAAUAAAAGAAGUAGAGUUUGUUUCACCCUCACCACAGAUUGCUCUGUGUCCCAGUUUAACCCAUCACUUCAACACAGAACCAGUCACUUCACUUUAAUACUGAGUAAACUUGUUUUUCAUUUAAUGGUUAACUAGUAAGCCAACAGUUAAUUGUUUAAUAAUUUGUGAGGAAGGAAGCAGCAUUUUAAAAUUUUAUGUUUGGUUGGCGGGUUGCACAGUGGCGCAGUUGGUAGCACUGUGGCCUUCCCACAAUCCUGAGUUUUAUUUCUGGCCCGGCGGUCUAAUUGGUUUUUCUAAAUUCUCUUUAGGUGUCAGUGUGUGCAUGCAUGGUUGUCUGUCUCCGUGUUGCCCUGUGAUAAACUGGCGACCUGUCCAGGGUGGCCCCGCCUGUCACCCGUUGACAGCACCAGUGCCCCUCCCAACCACAAUGGGAUAAGGGUGUAAGAAAAUGGAUGGAUGGAUGGAUGGAUGGAUGGAUGGAUGGAUGGAUGGAUGGAUGGAUGGAUUGAUUGAUUUUUGGUUGGCCUUCAUUUAUAUAGGUUGUCUCAUUAAGGUCCUACAUCGCUGUCAUUUUGUGUGUAUAGAUGGUGGACCCAAAUGCAUGAGACAGAGGUUUCAAGUAGAUUUAAUAAAAAACAGAAACUUUCAAGAAAAACCAUGAAGAGCACUGGGAGCCAAGGCAGAGCAAAAAACACAGAACUCAGAAACAAGAGCCUGUUUGUGCCCCUAAACGAUUUGAGGGCCACAAACAAGAGGACGAUCCUCCGGAGUGAUGAUUGUUAUUGAACUGAGGUUCUAAAAACAUUUAAAAACAAGGAGGGAGUGAUCAUCAUCAUCAAAGCUGUUCAUAUAGCAAGAAGUAGCAAGGAGUCACAGCGAAGUCAAAGGAGAAAAGGUGUAGAAGUACUGAGACAGUGAAUGGUGGAACAAAAUACAUGGGCUAACUCACUGAUGAGAUGUAGGUGUGAGAAGAGAGAGAGAAAAACACGGGGGUGAAGGAGGGCACAAUGGGAACUUGGAAAUGAAUCUCACGUUAAAUAACAACUAGACAUAAGAAACAUAAGUAAACAUAAUAAACUAGCAUCACAGAGAAAGAACUGAACUAAAAACACGUUUAAUUUCCCAUUUUAAUCACACAAGUACCAAAUAUACUUUAAUUUGCAAUCAAAAAAUAAUUCCAAAAUUAUCUCUAAUCUCUCAUAUUUCUGGAGAACUUCAGAAGUUUGAGUUUUAAAAAUUUGAGGGCUGCCUGUCAUUCCCUAAGGAAGUAUCCAAGUGUCUAAGUCUGGUUUAGCUUGCUUUAAACAGUGCCAAUCAGUGCCAAGGAAAAUAAAUGGUGCGUCUCGAUUGGCUGCUUUUCACAUAGGGUAAGGUAGAUUUGGAUCACUUUUUCUCUUAACGAAUGAAACAAUUUGAAAACUGUAUAUUUUCAGGUUAUGACUGUCUGAUAUUAAAUUUGCUGUAUGAUCUGUAACAUGGCAGUAUGACAGUAAAGCUAGCAAAGGAGAAAUGAAUGUGGCCUGUCAAUCCAACAAAACUUAUAUUUGCAGUGAUUUGAGUUUCUCUGUGUUUAUUUUUGGUUCUGUUUUAUGUGAGUCUCUGUCCUGUCCUCCCUUUAUUGGAACGAGGUGUGUCUCAUUCCUGUGAUUACUAUUUAAUGUCACAUGUUGUCUCUGUCUC